rnacentral:rRNA from 1 species
UGCAGUCUGCAACUCGAGUGCAUGAAGCUGGAAUCGCUAGUAAUCGCGGAUCAGAAUGCCGCGGUGAAUACGUUCCCGGGUCUUGUACACACCGCCCGUCACACCAUGAGAGUUGGGGAUACCCGAAGCCUGUGAGCUAACUUAUAGAGGCAGCAGUCGAAGGUAGAAUCAAUGAUUGGGGUGAAGUCGUAACAAGGUACC